GAUGAACGCUAGCUAUAGGCUUACACAUGCAAGUCGAGGGGAAACGGCAUUAUGUGCUUGCACAUUUUGGACGUCGACCGGCGCACGGGUGAGUAUCGCGUAUCCAACCUUCCCUCCACUCGGGGAUACCCCGUUGAAAGACGGCCUAAUACCCGAUGUUGUCCACAUAUGGCAUCUGACGUGGACCAAAGAUUCAUCGGUGGAGGAUGGGGGUGCGUCUGAUUAGCUUGUUGGUGCGGGUAACGGCCCACCAAGGCGACGAUCAGUAGGGGUUCUGAGAGGAAGGUCCCCCACAUUGGAACUGAGACACGGUCCAAACUCCUACGGGAGGCAGCAGUGAGGAAUAUUGGUCAAUGGACGGAAGUCUGAACCAGCCAAGUAGCGUGCAGGAUUGACGGCCCUAUGGGUUGUAAACUGCUUUUGUUGGGGAGUAAAGUGAGGCACGCGUGCCUUUUUGCAUUUACCCUUCGAAUAAGGACCGGCUAAUUCCGUGCCAGCAGCCGCGGUAAUACGGAAGGUCCAGGCGUUAUCCGGAUUUAUUGGGUUUAAAGGGAGUGUAGGCGGUCUGUUAAGCGUGUAGUGAAAUUUAGGUGCUCAGCAUUUAACUUGCAGCGCGAACUGGCGGACUUUGAGUGCACGCAACGUAUGCGGAAUUCAUGGUGUAGCGGUGAAGUGCUUAGAUAUCAUGACGAACUCCGAUUGCGAAGGCAGCGUACGGGAGUGUAACUGACGCUUAAGCUCGAACGUGCGGGUAUCGAACAGGAUUAGAUACCCUGGUAGUCCGCAAGGUAAACGAUGGAU
rnacentral:rRNA from 1 species